GAUGAACGCUAGCGGCAGGCCUAAUACAUGCAAGUCGGACGGGAUUGGAGAGCUUGCUUUCCAUGAGAGUGGCGCACGGGUGCGUAACACGUAUGCAACCUACCUUUACCAGGGGGAUAGCCUCUCGAAAGAGAGAUUAACACCGCAUAAAAUUAGUUUAUGGCAUCAUAAAUUGAUCAAAUAUUUAUAGGGUAAAGAUGGGCAUGCGGAACAUUAGCUAGUUGGUAAGGUAACGGCUUACCAAGGCGACGAUUUUUAGGUGAUCUUAGAGGAUGACCCCCCACACUGGUUCUGAGACCCGGACCAGACUCCUCCGGGAGGCAGCAGUAAGGAAUAUUGGUCAAUGGGCGCAAGCCUGAACCAGCCAUGCCGCGUGCAGGAAGACGGCCCUACGGGUUGUAAACUGCUUUUGUACGGGAAUAAACCCUGAUACGUGUAUCAGGCUGAAUGUACCGUAAGAAUAAGGAUCGGCUAACUCCGUGCCAGCCGCCGCGGUAA
rnacentral:rRNA from 1 species